AGUGGAGAGUGUAUAUUGACGAACACUUAUAUAGUCCAGAUACAUUUUGAACCCCGUUGGAGAAAAAUUGGUAGUCAGUCACUCAGUCUGUGCAUCUAACUUAUGCUGCAGUGUAUUUGGACCCUUAGCUGUCAUAGUAAUCAGGAGACAUCUAUUUCUGUUUGUUUAAUCAGGACAGCUGUACAUUUUUAGGCGUCAUAAUUAAAAAAACAAAAACUGAGAU